AUGGACAGAGCUGCACAGACAAGCAGAAGGCUACUGAACUCUGAUUAAUCACAAUGUAGCUUUCAUUAGUUCUACUCAGCAGAACUGACAUUGUGGCGGAAUUAUCUCAUUAUUUUGCAGCACAAAACAUGAGACAUCAAGACAAAUCUGAAGGCCUUCUGUACUGCACUUAACGUCUGUUGGGGAACGGGAGGUGAUAUAUUUCAGCAGCUGGCCAUCUCUUAUACAGAUGUUACUGUACAGACCACGUCUAUGGACAAGCUACUGGCAUAACUGAUACAUCAUUGACCUGUCCACACUUUAGUUAGGAGAGCUCAGAGGAAGGAUGUCAUCCAUGGGACGGAAGGACAAUAUCCUAUGAUGUGACUCUUUAAGGGAGAACGAACCACCGGCUACACACUCUCCUUGCAUUGAUCUUAAGUGCCCCAAAGUGGGCUGCGCAGCUUUCUGAAUAAAACACCAGCCGGGGCCGGGGCUGGGCCAGGUGCACGCCGCUGCCACCCCGGAGCCGCUUUAGGUGACAGCAAAAAAGAAACAAAGCCAUCAAUUCCCACCUACUUAGCUAUGUGUCUUAUCUAGGGCUCACUGUAGAGCCAAGUGCCUCAUAGUGCACCCAGUAACUGAAAGCAGUGGUGGCUGGAGUCGGGCUUCAUAUAUUCCUUUGUUUCCUUGGAGUUUACAUUCAGAAGAACAAAGUGAUCCUCAACCCAUAUAGGGAAUGGAAGAUUUCAGGGAUUAAUCUUCCUGAACUUGUAUGCUUAUGCAUGGAACCUUCACUGGAAAUAAGGGAAAUUAAAAAAAAACAAACUUUGAAAGAAAAGAGAUCAAGCCCUGCGAGUAGGCAGCUGCUUUAUUCUUUCCGUUCCUGCACUAGAUUUUUUUGUCCAUUUCUCUCUUUUAAAUUCUCCAGUGAUUUUAAUUAAAUUCACUAGGUUUGAAAGGAAGGGUCACCACCUCCCACAUCUGACAGGUACCAUUAAUGGCGACUUUGCAAUACUCCAAAACAGGGUUAAUGAACACAGUGAAGGAAAAGCAUGCUCCUGAUCUUAGCAAGAGGUAGCGUGGAGAUAAUGUUUUAGUCUCUCCCUUAGAAACUUAAUUUAAAUUGCUGUGUGCUGGAAACACUAAUGGGGGGGGGAGAGACGACAGGAAGGGAGGUUAAAUACUUGCAUUCCUUCCUUGUGCACAGCUAGGCAAGAUGGAUGAAACUAAUCAUGGUGGGGUUGUUGUGUGUUUUUUGUCGGCUUAUUUUUAUUUUUUCCUUCUGAAUUGUCAGGGAAAAUACACAUGGCCAGAAUAAAAGUUGUUCCUAUCUCUUCACUUAGUACUUGACCAUAUGUCUGUCCCCCUUUUAUCUCCCCAUUCAUUCUCCCUUCCCCUCCCAGUCUUUCCCCUUCCCUACUACCUAUGCUCUCUUUCUAUCCUGGCCUUUCUUUCUCCCAUUAAUGACCAAAUGAGUUCUGCAGCAAGCUGUGACUGUCACAUUACUUGUCUUUUCAGAUAGUGUGGUUGUUUUCUCCAGGCAUCCAUUUACCUCUAAAAUGUGUGUCAGUUUUGAGAAUGUUUUUACCCACCAGGAGAUCCACAUACACUUCUGAAUAGAAGCCUAUAAUGCAAAUUGUUUGUCCACCGGUUUAUUUCUCUGAACAUGAAGAAAAGGAUAUAUUGUCUAUGCCAAGCCAUCAUGUACAUGCCUAUCAAAUUCUUUUCCAUUUACUACUGGUUUUGCAAAAAAUCCUGUUUUAUAUGCUGAAUGCCCCAAACUUAUGGGCUGGAUGAACUAUAAGCAGUGAACAACUUAGUCCUCAAACAUAGCCCUUUUACUGACCAUCAAUUAUGAUUUUUAAAGACUGGUUUAUUAUCUGAAAUGGUUCAAAAAUAAUUUGUAUAAACCAAAAGUAGUUUAUAUGAACCAAUUUUACACCUAUGGAGUUUGUGUCAAAUGAUUACGAUGAAUAUUUGCUCUUUGUCACCUAAGUCGCAUGGCAUUCUUUCAGAUUUCUGAUUCAGUGACCUAAACCUUAUACAAAGGCUUUUUUUGUGCUCUCAGUUAAUUGUACAAAUCUAUUCUGUGAAUAAAAUAAGAAUAUUAAAAGUGAAAAAAAAAGUUUGCAUAGCCCUCUGCCAGCCAAACUUUUUGCACAGCUCAGAUUGCAACGCCUCCAGAUACUAAGAAGCAGAGGCUGAAAAUCAAGCAAAAUACAAAAUGUAAUGUAAGAAAGUACAAUUAUGGCACUUUCAUAGCAGUUUCCAUUAAAAGAUUUAAAGUGCUUUAAGAAGAAGGGUUUGAUUAUCCAUGUUUUACAGAUGGGGACACACAGAGGAUAAAGCACACAUCCUCAAAGAAUGAUCACUGAUUUGGUUUUCCCAGUUUUGCGAUGGCCAACCUGAGACACUGUGGGUCCCUUUUUCCCCAGAGGUGCCAGCCUCCUGCAGCUGCUGUAAACCUCAGUGGAGUUACUGAUGUUCAGCAUCCCUGAAAGUCGGGCCUUAGACGUCUGAAGUUGGGCACCCGAAUUUGGGGACACUUCUUAAAAUGUAGGCCUUAGUUCCGGGUGGGAAAACUACAGCUGUCGGCCCGCGAGCUCCCGCUGGGGAGUGGCGUCUGGGGCUUGCCUCGCUCCGGCACUCCAGCUGGGGCGCUGGGUGGGGGGCCAUACCAUACAGCUCGGCCCCGCUCCGGCAGUCCAGCCA